CCGAGUAAAAUACACAAAUGUAUAAUACCUUAAUUCAGGAGCACAGUCUGUCUUUACCGUAAAUAACUUCGAGAUUAAUAUGUAAGUUUACUUUGCUAAUCGAUGUUCCUGUAAUUCAGAUUUAUAUUUAUUUGUGAGACCCCCGUCACUAUUUAUAUUCACUGAAAGAAAGGGGUUCUCCGUUACUGGGAAAAUCUUAUCUGAUUCAGGAUCAAUUUAUCGGUUACACUCCCCUAUCACCAGUGAUUCUUUGUUGUAAGCUGACAUUCUGAAAAAGGGCAAGAACAUAAAAGAUAAAGGGAAACUAUAAACAAAAGAAAUUAUCAACAAAAAUAGAUUUACAGACGUCAACAAAGCCUAAAUGGUCAGACAUCUUGGUUUUCAUGAUCAUCAUUCAACAAGUCAAUACUAAACAGAAAACUUAAAGUUGAUAUUUUUCUACAUAGUGUGACUUUUUUAUUAAUUUGAAAUGAAAUGUGUUUUUUUCCUACAUAAGAAAGAGGAAAUUUCAUCAUAAUGACUAUAAACAAAAAGGAGUCAUAUCAUCAUGAUCAUAGAUGCACAAGAACUUAAUCAUGUAAAUGCAACAACGUAAUUAUCAAUUGAAAGAAGGGAGGAAUGAAAAAAUAUAUUAGUAUUUUGUUGUCCAAAUGAACUUGCUUUGUCUACUCAUUUAAAUCGCUCCAUCCAAUAAAGAUGUACGGAGGAAGAUUUUUGAAGAACAGACUGCAAAAAUGUUUUGUCUAAGAAUUGUAGAAAUAUUCUAGUGGAUGAAAUAAUUUAUUUACUUGACUCUUAUAUAGUGGACUGAAUAAUUGUUCAUAGCAAGCUGAAACAAGAAAACUAAAACUUAACAGGAAAAGUGUUUAUUUUAUAAAUUUGCAAAUAUAAACAUAAUAUUAAGAACACCACAAAGGUAUAAGAUUCAAAUCGUUUGCAUAUUCAUGUAUUGCAAUGGAACUAUAACUAAGAAAAUUUUAACUCAUGAAAAGAGUAAACUAUUAACUGUGCUUUGUCAAUUUAUUCAGUCAGAAUAUGAAAUAUUUUUUUCAGUUCUAUUUUUCAUAAUAAAACAAACAAGACAAAGAU